GCACAGUGGCCUACUGGUUAGCGCUUCGGACUUGUAACCGGAGGGUUGCCGGUUCAAACCCGGACCAGUAGGCA
rnacentral:tRNA from 1 species